UACGGAGGUGGCGAGCGUUGCUCGGAUUCACUGGGUGUAAAGCGCGCGUAGGCGGCCCUAUAAGCCUUGCCUUAAAUUCUCUGGCUCAACCAGAGAUAGUGGCAAGGGACUGUAGGGCUUGAGGGUGAGAGAGGUGGGCGGAAUUCCCGGUGUAAGGGUGAAAUCUGUAGAGAUCGGGAGGAACACCAGUGGCGUAGGCGGCCCACUAGAUCACCCCUGACGCUGAGGUGCGAAAGCUAUGGGAGCAAACAGG
rnacentral:rRNA from 1 species